AGCUUUGCGCAGUGGCAGUAUCGUAGCCAAUGAGGUUUAUCCGAGGCGCGAUUAUUGCUAAUUAAAAGAAUUAUACACCAUGACCAAGUGAAACCUAUUCCCAUAUGGAAAGAAUCGUUCAACAUCUGAAAAUCAGUGUAAUGC